GACAACAAUCUUCAUAAGCCUGGUUUGUGCAGAAAAUUAGAUCGUUAAACUCAAUUUCAUAGUUACAAAUACAGUGAAGAUGAUGUGCAAAAUUUACUAUGUAGUAAAUUUCCUCUUAAUAAGACUGUUAAUAUUUGUUAAAAUACUGGACAAAUUAAUCAAUUUUUUUAUCUACUAGAACAAAUAUAGGUCUUACAAGUGUAUGUCUUACACAAUCUUGCCCUAGACUCUUUUUCACUGGUUACUUUAUUUCUUUAUGUGUUGUAGUCCAGGCAAGAUAGCAUAAGUGCAGGCAGUUGCUGUAAUAGAAAUGCUGACCACGGUUUAUGGUCGGUCUUGACAUAUAUUAAUAUUAUCACCAAAAAAACUCUCAGUUCGAAAUCCGUGCCCAAAUGCGUCAAAUUAGCAAAAUCCAAAAUGGCCGCUGGUUUUGGCUUGUAAAUUCCUAUUUCCACCCAAUUAUCAUAAUAUAAUGGAGUUUGGUAUCAAAAUAUACAUUUUUGGGGUUACUGAAUCUAUUUCCAUACACACUUUUGUGAUAAGUGUUCCCGUUGAGUCAAUAUUGGGGGUUAUUCGAGAUGGCGGUCAGUUUUGGCGGGAAAAUAUACGUUUUCGAGGUAGCUGUAUCCCUUUUUAUACGCCCACAUUGAAAUGGGGUCGUAUAUUGUGUCGCCCCUGUCCGUCCGGCCGGUGUCAACAAUUGCUUGUGGACGCUCUAUAGGCUGAAGUUAAUAUCCGAUUGACUUUAAAUUUAUACACAGUGUUUAAGGUCAUGAGACAAAGAAGCCUAUUGAUUUUCAGCAAUUUCCGAUAAUUACUGCCAGAGUUAUGGCCCUUGAUCACUUUGAAAAAUCUUGUGGACGCUCUAGAGGUCAAAGUUAAUAUCCGAUUGACUUUAAAUUUAUACACAGUGUUUAAGGUCAUGAGACAAAGAAGCCUAUUGAUUUUCAGCGAUUUUCGAUAAUUACUGCCAGAGUUAUGGCCCUUGAUCACUUUGAAAAACCUUGUGGACGCUCUAGAGGCUAAAGUUAAUAUCUGAUUGACUUUAAAUUUAUACACAGUGUUUAAGGUCAUGAGAUGAAGAAUCCUAGCCAUUUUCAACGAUUUUCAAUAAUUUUUACCAGAGUUAUGGCCCUUGAUCACUUUGAAAAAUCCUGUGAUGCUCUAGAGGCUAAACUUAUCAUCCGAUUGACUUCAGAUUGAUACACAGAGUUUAAGGUCUUGAGUCGAACAAGUAUAUUGAUUUUCAAUGAAUCUUUAUGACUUGAACAGCUAAAUCCAUGAUGUUAAAAGUUUUGUAUACUAAACGUUAGCAUGGGGCAGAACUUUAUAAAAACCAAACAAAUUCUAAUGGUUUUCUGAUAAUUACUUUAACUUAAUGAGUUGUUACUCUUAAUCAGAUUUUAAUGUAUUAUAAAUGUUUCAUUACGGUAAAAAUAUGCGACAACUCUUGUUGACUGCCCGGACAAUAUAGCUAGGGCUGUACGAUAUUUAAUAAUAAUGUCACUUUGCUAUUGAAUAAAUUAAAUAUAAAUGCAGUGUGAGUGAGAAUUGCUUUAUUCAUACACUUUAAACUUUGCUUUUUUUAUAAUAUAAAUUUAUUAAAAUCAUGGACCUUAUAAUACAUGGACUGGCAACGGCUUAUUAACCUAACGGAAGUUGUUAACGAGUUAUGUCCCUUAGCGGUGUCUGUAGUUACCCGACAUGCGUACUGCUCCAUUAUGAGUAGAAUGGCUUACAAGACCUAUAAAAUAAAUCAGCGAGCCGUCGGAUGUUUAUAUUUUUUGCUAAUAUACAAUCCAACGCACAAUGAACACCGAUUAUAUCCACUGGGAUGAUUCCGAUAUGGACUUAGAGGAUCUAUUAAGAGAAUUCACUGGGCAUGACAAUGAAAGGGUGAGGGAUGACACAAGUUCAGACGAAUAUAAUCCUGAUCCUCGCCUAGUUGGCGAAGAAGAAAACAUACGACCCGUACAAACAUAUAUAUGUCCAGUUUGUAGAAAGAUUUAUAAAACCAUUCGUGGUUUUCGUGGACAUGUGAAUAUAACCCAUAAUAUGCCAGACUUGAAAGCCCACGAAAAUAGGACAAACACAGAGCAGUGUACGGACGCUGACAAAAGUGAAAAAGGAGAUGGGUCACCACUGAGAAUUUUUGAAUUUUUUCAAACAAUUCUUAUAGAAGCUAUUGUACUAACCCUAGCUCAGAUGACAUCCGGUAGGGUACUUUCGGAAAAAAGAAGAAACGUCAAUUUAAUUGGUGUCACAAUCAGUGAAUCUUGUGAGGCCAAAAAGAAGAUUCAAGUACACCUAGAAAGCCCACUGUUUUCAAUAUUUUCGAAACUUGGAGUAGGAUAGUCAAUGGGAUCUGACCGAGAACAUAUGUGUAAAGCUUUUCAUGUUUUGCGGCUAGAUGAUAAAUUCUGUUCCGAUUUUUCAAGACUGCUAAUUUUUGCAAAUGCUGAUCUGCAUAUCAGGCAUUCAUUCAUCCAAUCUUUCUUACAGAAAUUAGUUACAGUUUUACUUCAAACUACUAACAAAAAUAUUGAAAAAUCCUCUGAGGUAGAACCAACAGAUAUAUCAUACUCUGACCAAAGUGUGCUGUUUUAUAUUGCUGGAUUUAUUGUACAUCCUCUCAACAAAAUCAUUAAUAGUACAUGUAAUGAGGAUCAAGAGGUAACUUUUAUCUGGGAAGAGUCAUAUCCAAAGAAAACUGCAGACUAUAAAUGGUUUUUAAUUGCUGAAGUUGUGAACCCUUUUAAAGGACUUUUAACUAAUGUUUAACUAUAUGGAAGUAAUUGCAUGAACAGUUUUUAAUAUGUAAAUAAUGUACGGGUCCAGCUAUGUGGUUUUUACUGUGAGAACUUCACUUUUCCACAUAAGCAAGUGGUUUGUUUUCCCACGUGUUUUUUUUUUCAAUCCUGUUUUAACUUAUGACAAAUGGAGAACUCUUCUCACAACACCAAUUUUUGAAAACUGUGUUUUAAAGUGUCUUUUUUUUAUACACAACAGCUUUUUUAUUAUAUUUUAUUUAUUACUUUUUAUUAGAUCUAUAUAGUUUGUAGAAUUAGACAACUUAGCAGAAAAAUAAAUGAAUUAAUACUUAUAUUUUUGGUCUUCAACUUCUUAACAUGGUCAUUCAUCUGCGGGUAGAUGAAGUUAAUAACGUUAGCUCAAUGUCUCUAUACCUAAUUUACAAAGCUUCAAUAAUACAUGUAGAUACAUUAAUUUAUAAACUCUAUAACCUAGGCCUCUUACAGUUCAGUUAGCAGAAUGGCACCAAAUU